AGUGAACGCUGGCGGUAGGCCUAACACAUGCAAGUCGAACGGCAGCACAGUAAGAGCUUGCUCUUACGGGUGGCGAGUGGCGGACGGGUUAGGAAUACAUCGGAAUCUACUUUUUCGUGGGGGAUAACGUAGGGAAACUUACGCUACUACCGCAUACGACCUACGGGUGAAAGCAGUGGAUCUUCGGACCUUGCGCGAUUGAAUGAGCCGAUUUCGGAUUAGCUAGUUGGCGGGGUAAAGGCCCACCAAGGCGACGAUCCGUAGCUGGUCUGAGAGGAUGAUCAGCCACACUGGAACUGAGACACGGUCCAGACUCCUACGGGAGGCAGCAGUGGGGAAUAUUGGACAAUGGGCGCAAGCCUGAUCCAGCAAUACCGCGUGGGUGAAGAAGGCCUUCGGGUUGUAAAGCCCUUUUGUUGGGAAAGAAAAGCAGCAGGUUAAUACGCCGCUGGUCUGACGGUACCGAAAGAAUAAGCACCGGCUAACUUCGUG
rnacentral:rRNA from 1 species